rnacentral:tRNA from 1 species
CAAGGGGUAGUUUAAUAAAAUAUCAGUUUUGGGGACUGGAGAAAGGACGUUUGUUUUACCCUUGA